GCACCCGUGGUGAAAUUGGCAUACACGCUAGAUUCAGGUUCUAGUGCCGAAAGGUGUGUGGGUUCAAAUCCCACCGGGUGCACCA
rnacentral:tRNA from 1 species